rnacentral:misc_RNA from 1 species
GGAGAUUUCAGAUCUAUAUGUAAAUUGUGAUGGCAUGUCUUACUUAGGGAUGUUUCCCAGAAAGUUGCCAAUAAUCGAUUGUGCAGCUACCUACCUACAUUACUUCUAAAUUUUCUUUUGCUAAUAAUGACCAGGCCCACAGUGGACUAAUCGUAAAAACACGGUUCUCAGUAUAACACUGACGUACUUAUAAAAACAAAGUACCCAAUACCUACAAAGUACUUAUCUACCUAAUAAUGACAAACAAAAGUAAUAUAACUGUGACCUUAGGAGGAAAAUCAAUUUAUGCUUUCCAACUGCUUUGUUGCAUGCUCCUUGUUCAAAUGUGUGAUUAGCAGUUUAAUUAAUUUUAAUACUCUCUCACGCCCUUACAAAAAGCAGCUUUAGCUAUCUUCGAAAAGUUCGAUAUCUUUAUUGGGAUCAUUUUUCAAGCUAAAAACUCGUCAAUGAGCUUUACUUGUGAAGUAGAAUGUGACAGCUACAAGAUUAAGCGAACUCGCUAUAUUGAGAUAUGGGUAGAGGUAGUGAAUGUGAGAUAUAGUUGAGAAGAGGAUUAAUUGUGGAACAUGAUUAAAAGUAUGCUUUCCUCAUUGCAAUGUAUGUUCUUAAAGUUGUGUAAAAGUAAUUUGUUUUUUAUAGUGGGGUGAAUAAAGCUAAAAAUAGAUCGCAUUAACGUUACUUUAUGGUCAUCGGAGCAUAUUCCGUAAUUUGUUAGCUGUCUUAUAUGACACUAUCCAAAGCACGGACAUAGAAACGAUUUUGCGUGCUGUUUAUUUAUUUAGAUGACCUAGAAUGGAUUUCUUUAUGACGUGAAUCUUUUCUUCCUUUAUCUAUUUUAUUUGGAUUGUGGAUAAAAAAUAUUAAAUGCCGUCAAACCCCGCUAUAGUGAACA